rnacentral:rRNA from 1 species
UGGCUCAGAACGAACGCUGGCGGCGCGUCUUAAGCAUGCAAGUCGAACGGCAAGAGGUAGCAAUACCUCCUAGAGUGGCGGACUGGUGAGUAACACGUGGGUGACAUACCCUUCAGAUGGGGAUAGCUAUUAGAAAUAGUAGAUAAUACCGAAUACGAGCACAGGGGUUAGAGAUCUGUGAGGAAAGGAGCUAAGGCUCCGCUGAAGGAAUGGCCUGCGGCCCAUUAGCUAGUUGGUGAGGUAAGAGCCACCAAGGCGAUGAUGGGUAUCCGGCCUUAGAGGGUGAACGGACACAUUGGGACUGAGAUACGGCCCAGACUCCUACGGGAGGCAGCAGCUAAGAAUAUUCCGCAAUGGACGAAAGUCUGACGGAGCGACGCCGCGUGGAUGAAGAAGGCCGGAAGGUUGUAAAAUCCUUUUGAAACUGAAGAAUAAGCGUUGUAGGGAAUGACAGCGUGGUGACAGUAGGUUUUGAAUAAGCAACGGCUAAUUACGUGCCAGCCGCUGC